CUUCUCUUCAGAUGGUGAGAGCUCUGACGACCUAGUCCAAAGGCGGCUGGAAGGUAGGAGGGUGACUUUCUUUUAGGACUGCUUCCCAGCAUCAAGGUGUUCCAGGUAAAGGAGAAGGAUCCCAUUAACAUGGCCUCACAAGAAAACCAGACUUCAGGGAGAGGAGAGCAGAAGGACAUUCUCUCUGGGACCCCUGAGCCCAUCUAACCUCCAGUCCGUCCAUCAACUGAUUACUGCUCAGUCACCUCAGACGAUGCCACUGGGAGCCAGAGAACUGCCUCGCUGAGCCCUGCCUGAAUGCCUGACUCAUAACUCAUGGUGUCAGUGAAAGUGAAUACCCAGCCACACCCAGCUGAAAUACCCAAAGUUGGAAAACACCACAAGAAAGCCAUGGUCAGCCUGGCGAGAGGACCCUGCCAGCUGCACACCCAGGGGGGACUGCUCAGGCAGCUCCACAUGCUGCCAGCCUUGCGCGAAAGCACACAGGUCCCCAUGGAGGGUGUAUCGUGCCCGGGAGCUCCGAGGGCGCAGGCGGUGCUGGAGCACUUUCAACCACUGAUGAGUGGACAAUGGCACCGGCGAAAGGAAAAAUGGCCCCCUAGGGCCGCCGCCCUACUGAUUCCACUUCGAGCUUCAGCCACCGAAGUUUUGAAAAAUCAUGAAGUGAUGAUGUCUUUUGGGCUCCAUUCUGAGGCUGGAUGUCCGCCCCCACGCGUGCUGAGGAAGCCCGUUUUGACCGUGCAUUUGCUCAGAGAUGCAGCCCCACAGUGGGGGCUGACCCAUUGCUGCCAGCCAGGCUGUGGGGCUCCCUGCAGAGCACACACUUGCACAGAAUAGCCAGGCCGAUGGAGGGCUGUGGGCGAGUGUGAUGGAUCAAGAUGAGAACAAGACUUUGGAGCCAUGCCCGCACAGAUGUGCAGACAAGGCUCCCGGGCUGCCGUGGCAUAGCCUGGCUUCUCCACUGAUUCUUGUUCUUCCCUGACCACUCAGCCUUGGCCUGUUCUUCUCACCUCUUACAUGAAAAUUACCAAGAUGCCUGCUCAUUGGACUGCCUCUACUUCCUGACGGCAGACCCUGGUUCCUUGGACUCUCCCCAAAUCACCAAGUUCCGCUCAAAUCCUGCCGCUAGCCCCUCUGGACUCACUCCGUCGUAUCACUGUCCCCCGGGGCUUGCCGUGGCUGCAGCCUCCCUUGCUGCAGCAAGCAAUGCACCCUGCCCUGCUGCACUUUCGGUGGACGUGCAGUGAAGAGGGCCACAUAUGACACUGGAAAUCAAGGUGCAGCAAACUUGUGAUGACCUUUACCUGCUACAGAGCGUGACUUGCAAACAAGCAAAUCCAGAGCAACAACGUUAAUCAUGUUUUUAUUCACCCUCUGCUCAGCAGCAGUAAAAAGUUCGACAGUGGGAUUCACCACACCCAUGGAGACAUUUCCAGCAGCCUACAUCUGGCCUUCACUUACCCUUUAUUAUUUAUUUCAUCCCCAAAAUAUUUUGACUCCUGUGCCUGUCGUCCUAGAGCAGAGGGAGGCAUUAGCCAAUAAACAGAGACACACACAAAUGUAUCA
ensembl:lncRNA